CUCGGAGGAGGGCGGGGUUGGGCAGGCUCGCCGAGGCCAGCUCGCCCUGUGCCCUCGUUGUCGUUGGUCACCUCGCAGUCUCCUGAGGCCUAGACUCCAUGGUCUCAAAAACGCACGAACAAUAGCUAGCCGUGCUGCGCGCUGGCGUGAGCAAGAAAUGGGGAUGCAGCCUACGUUCCCGAGACUUCACACCAGGGUGUGCGCCCGCCACGCGGCCUCUCCCGGGGCGCGUCGGCUUGAUGGACGUGCUUCCCGCCGAGGAAACCCGCUUCCGGGAGGCCCCAGGGCAGAGGCCUCGCACCCACGUUUCCCGACCGGAGAGCCGGAGCGGGAGCUGGACCUGACCGAGUGGGCCUUCUGCGCUAAGGGCGCCUUUAGCCGCAGGGAUCCUGGCUUUGCAGGACUGUACACCUCCGAUCCAAAAAUCCGGAGAUCCCAGGGCGGGAUACGGCCCCCACACUCAGGGGACCCAUCCAAAAAUGGAAGACUUAAGAGAGAAAGCAAAGCAAACGCAUUAUCUUACAUUCACCGGUAUCCGUAAUGUCAGUACUAAUCAUUCCCAUGAGGAUAAGAGGCACAACUUUGUAACAACCAAAUUGAUUAGUCAAGAUGGCCUAAAUGGAAAUACAGGAAGAGUGAAAUGUGCGUCAGCUCGAGAUAUGAAUAUAUAUAUAUAUACCUAGAGCCUCUAAGUUACCUCGACAGCUUCCUAGUUAACUAAAACAUUUAGUUGAUAAGGCAACAGAUACAUCUGAGAACAUCUAAUCUGACCCAUGAAGGGAUCAACUAUUUGUUGUUACAAGGAUAUGCUAGGGUCUCGGGCUGUUAUUCGUGGUGCACUGCCAACGGUGUGCUGCAGUCUGAAGCCUUGAGUCUUGGGCUCACGGGUUGGGACGCGCGAGAAUUGCAGUCUUUCUGUUUAACUGUGAUCUUGAACAAACUGCUUCAAUUUCCUCCAGGGCUGAUCUGCACAGAGAUGCCACAAAGGAUGUUUCUGCUGCUCUCUUAGAGAUUAAUCAGGAAGAAAGCCCAGUGUAAGACUUUGGUCUGGUUAAAGGCUUUUGUUGUUAUUGUUCUUUGGUCUUCAUUCUUUCUUGCUUAUUUGAAAAUCUCAUGUAACCCUGACUGUUCUCAAAUCCAUUGCAUCAUGCUAGGAUUGUAUCCAAUUUCAUAUCCUCCCAUUAUGUGAGAACAAUAAACUUUUUUUUUAAGACACCAC
rnacentral:lncRNA from 1 species